UACGUAGGGUGCAAGCGUUGUCCGGAAUUAUUGGGCGUAAAGAGCUCGUAGGCGGUUUGUCGCGUCGGCUGUGAAAACUCGGGGCUCAACCCCGAGCCUGCAGUCGAUACGGGCAAACUUGAGUGCGGUAGGGGAGAUUGGAAUUCCUGGUGUAGCGGUGGAAUGCGCAGAUAUCAGGAGGAACACCGAUGGCGAAGGCAGAUCUCUGGGCCGUAACUGACGCUGAGGAGCGAAAGCAUGGGGAGCGAACAGG
rnacentral:rRNA from 1 species